GUUCCGGUCGCGCACGGGUCGAGCCGCGGGGUGUGAGCCGCGCGGGCCGCCGUAGUCAGCUGCUGCGAGCAGGAAGUGUCCGAGAAGCAGGCGGAGAUUGCACCAUGGCCCCGGACCCCUGGUUCUCCACGUACGAUUCUACCUGCCAAAUUGCACAAGAGAUUGCUGAGAAAAUUCAACAACGGAAUCAGUAUGAAAGAAAUGGUGAAAAUACAACCAAGCUUACGGUGACAAUCAGAGCUUUGUUGCAGAAACUGAAGGAAAAGAUCGCCCUUUUGAAGGACUUAUUGCUAAGAGCUGUGUCAACACAUCAGAUAACGCAGCUCGAAGGAGACCGAAGACAGAACCUAUUGGACGAUCUUGUAACUCGAGAGAGACUCCUUCUGGCCUCCUUUAAGAAGGAGGGCGCAGAGCCGGAACCCAUCAGGUCCAGCCUGAUGACAGGAGGGGCCAAGCGGGCAGUACCCAACCCUUGGCUCUUCGAGGAGCCGGAGGAGACCAGAGGCUUAGGCUUUGACGAAAUCCGGCAACAGCAGCAGAAAAUCAUCCAAGAACAGGAUGCAGGCCUGGAUGCCCUUUCCUCGAUCAUAAGUCGCCAGAAACAAAUGGGGCAGGAAAUUGGGAAUGAACUGGACGAACAAAACGAGAUAAUUGAUGACCUUGCCAACCUGGUGGAGAACACCAACGAGAAGCUCCGCACGGAAACCAGGCGCGUGACCCUGGUGGACAGGAAGUCCACGUCCUGCGAUUACAUGCAGCAGGCAUUCAGAAGGGGAGGCCACAGAAGUACAACAAACGAUGCUGAAAGAAGGGAUGAUACUGGUGAUCGUGUUGCUGCUCGUGGCUAUCGUGGUCGUGGCAGUCUGGCCUACCAACUAGUGGCAGUUGGGGGACCACCGGCAUGACACCUGUCAGUGAUGGAGAAAACUCAGCAUCCUCUUGGUCCCCCACCGUGGUCGCCAGUCCUAGUGGGGACGUAUCUCCGGACUCCACCUGGGGAGCCCCCUUCAGCUGUAGGAGCGUGUUCUUUUUCUUCGCUGGGUGUGGGGAGCCUGUUUUCCAGCCCCGAGCAUCGUGGACUAAGACAAGCACAAGGGGACCACGGACAGCUGGGCGCAGCGUGGACUCCAGGGACCCCAGACCUGAGGGUCCAGUGCUCCGGCCCCCCCGUCAGAGGGAGUCACAUCUCCGCACUUGGCCUGUCGUGAGUCCCUGCAGAGUGUGGGUGACCCUCUUCCUGGCAGCUCUUCCCUGGGGGGGCCGGUCACUCCCAGGCCACCCGAGCAGUCUGCUUCCUCCUGGGGCAUGUGUGGCGGUGGCACACGGCCCUCAUUGGGAGGUAGUCUAGCCCUGGACGUGGCCUGCCUGGGGUCACACUUGGGCUCCAUCCACGUCGACCGGGACAGGGCUGUGUUCACAGCCACCCAAACCCAGGACCGUCCCAAGGGUCAGCGCCUCCCUUGGUCGCCUGUCCGUGCAGCUCAGCUCCGGGCUCCAGGCCCUGGUGGGUGGGACAGCUGCACGUGGGCUCCCGCAGAAGGAGGGGGACUCUGGAGACCCUCACGUCAGCAGCGGGACCCUCGGCCCGGAAGUGAAGCCAGCGCUCUGCUCACAGCUCACUGGCUGGGACCGCCACCUGCCCUGCUCAGCAAGGGGACCAGAAGUGCCCUAGAGCCUGAACUGGGUGGACAGGCCCCAGUGACAACCGCAGGCAAGGGACCUGCUCUGUGCUUCGUUUCCUCCUCUGGAAAAUGGAGAGGAGACGGCCUUUUGCCUGGGGCUGCCGCCAGGACUAGGUGAGUGAGCGCUUGGAAGCGCAGAGACCCCCUGUGGCUCAGAUGAUAGGAUCCUCCCUCUGACCCAAGUCUACACCCAGUGGGCCUGGUGGGCCACACCAGGAGACCCAGGCCUCUGACCCGGGGCGACAGAGCAAACCCUUGUGAGGAUGUGACACGUGGGCCCCGGCAGAGCAGGAGCUCCGUCUGUCUGGACCCCGGGGACCAGCACGUGCAGAGCAAGGCCAGGCCCUGGGAGCGGUUCACACGGGCGGUGGCUCGCGGGUGGAGCAGGGAGCCGGGCAGCCGUGAGCUUGAGCCACGCGGUUGGGGAACGGGAUUGGGAAGCAAAGGAGAGGACACAGAGGCAGGCCUGGUUCAGGACGGGCGUGCUCCUGGAGGCGAGGGGCCGGGCUGGACGGGGAGGGGCAGCGGCAAGGCCCCCGGGACGGGUGUUCCUUGUGGGCGGGGGUGGGACGGUUGCUAACGGAUCCCCUGACGGAAGGUCAGGAAUCCACGGAGCACAUCUUGCAGGCUUGUCGCACAAAACCCCAAAUCUGUAUAAAUAGCGUCUCCUUGGAGCCCCCCACUUUGGGGCUCACGGGAGGCGGCCCUGAGGGUCUGUUUGACUUUCUCACCUCCUCUUGACUUGCUCAGCACGGAGCCCCGGCAACGCACGGGGCAUCUCUGAACCAGAGCCACGGCGGCCUGGCUCAGCCGCACACAGAGGCCUCUCCAAGCCAAACGCCGAGCCGACGUCUGCACACAGCAGCUUCUGUUCUCCUGGCUGAGUGGGCUCGAGGCCCGGGCCCAGCGCUGCGGGCUGGGUAACCUGGACCAGUGGCUUCACUUCUCUGGACCCGCAGGCAGGGGACGGCAUGAGAAGCUGGUCAGGUUAGAUGGUGAGGACCUGCCCUCCAGGCCCGGGGCAGUGCCAGGCAGGGAGGCACCCCCUUUCCUCAGCUUCCUCGAAGAGGGCUUCUUACGAAACACCCACCCCACUCUGAUCCCAGGGGGACCCAGAAUAGGCCGAGCUGGGCCAGUCUGGGGAUCUGUUUCAUCGGGAGCCACCCUGGAGUCAGCUGGCUUUGGCCAGGCCUGGUUGCCCCCCUUUCCAAGGUGGCGGGACCACGGUCCCGGUGGCUGGCCGGGUCUGAAUCAAGGGGUUGAGCAGGAAGAACUUACCCUAGGCAAGUGACGCAAGACCCAUCACCGUGGCUGCGUCUCCGAGGAAAGGAAACUUUAUUAAAAUAACAGCCCAAGUACUGUUGAACUUAACUGAUUAUUAAUUAUAAGCAUUUUAUGUCUGGAUACCAUAUAAAGAAAUCCAGAUACCUUGUUCCACCUGGUACUUCUGUUCCGUUGAAGCGUCCUUAUUAUUAAUAACUGUAAUUAAACCUUAGUUUUCAUUAGCCCCCGGACCAUCUGCUCGCUCAGACCCCCCAGGCUCCAGCCGGGCCCUGGCCCCUCCUUCCGAGGGGCUGCUGCAGGAUUUCUGCCUGCCCCUCUGCUUCGAGAACCAUCAGGUUCUCUCUGGACCCGUCCUCGGAACGGCCAGCCCGCCUGGCGCUGCAUUUUGCCUUGCAGACAGCAGAGCUUUCUGCCUACACUAGUUAGAGAUGGUCCUUUAUCUAGUUGGGGCUUCUCCAGCCCUGCUGAAGGUAAGUAGGUCCCCCACCCCUUGAUUUAACAAAGCGGCCAAGACUCAGCCUUCCUCUGAUCGCUUCCCACGGCUCCAGCUUGCCUUCCAACUACGCACCAGUAACAGGAAGCACACCCCCUCUUUCCUGCAGCGACUCGCGGUCCUGUAGUGUCUCCAGUUUGAUACAGGACUUGAACCGAUGAACUCGUUCCUCUCGCGCUGGCUCCAUUCGGCCUUUCACGCCGAGUUAUUCCUGGCAUAUUUCUUACGUCUUUAUUUAGUCUUAAAAAAGCACGGCGUGCUCCACUCAACAGAAUCGGAAACCUAGGUGCGUCUCUGCCAUGAGCGGGCAGUGCCCGCCCCAAGACGCUGUCUUGGGCCAGCGGGGAGGGCUUUACAAAGGCGUGAGCCUCCACGGGAGCCGGCCAGACCCUGGGGAGCUCUCUGACCCCCAGGAGGGUCUGGGCUUUGGACUGGACCACGCUGGCCCCUCAGCAACCCCUCCGCCGGCUCUUGCCUUGGCGUUCGGGGCUCUAAAGUGGACCUAUCCAACCCCCUUGCAUCAGGAAUUAGCAGCCGCUUAGGGGACUGGCUGCCCUGAACGCGGCAGAUGUCUUAAGUCCUGCACCUGGUCCAGCGGGGUCUGAACUGGCUCUGGGAGGAGCCUGUGGCUGCAGGAAGGUCUCGCCCGAGACCCGCAUCCUGUCCCUGCCGGCCUGGUGUCAGGCACUGCCAUUCCAGCUGGGACGUGGACCCGGGACUCCCCCUGCGUCUCCCCACCCUGGCGUGGACCCCUGGUUCCUAGAGCCAGACUCCUGGCGCAGGUUGGGCUGGCCCUGUUCCUUUCCGAGCGGAAGCUAAGGGCGCCUCGGCCAGCUUUCCGCGCAGCAGGGAUGUGCCUUCCGGGGCCAGAUGAACCUGCGUCGCUUAGACUUGUCUUCGAAACAGCUGGGAGCAGAAAUUACAGCUUCCUGGUGACGAUCGGCUCCACUUGGCAUGGCCACCCAACAUGUCCCUAAUAACUGAAUUGUUUAUUUAAUAGAGCAAUCACAGCCAAGUGGAGGUUUAAACAGCGCUCCCCCGAAACCCAGUGAGCUCAGCCCCUGGGGGCUGCGUGGCGCUGACCCUGGCCCAGGCCCCCGCGCCCCGUGAAGCCUUAGCGAGGAGAACCUCUCUGCACGUCACCAGCCCUGGUGUCUUUUUAGCGCAUCUCCCCUUGGCUGCAGACAGAAGACUGGUGGCGGAAAGACCCGGACACUCCUUGCAGGUUUGGGGUCAGAUGGGGAGGUUGCAAGGGUGGCUCUGCCCUGUCCCCUGGGGCCCCCUGACCCGGAGCCCUAGGAAGCGGCCGGGAUGGAUCCCAGGGAUGGCCUCUUUGGGGCUGUCCCAUUUGAGGGCCUCUUAGCUCACAAGCACAUUCGGAGCUAGUCAGCCCCUGGGGCCUUCCAAGGAAAGCUGCCCUCUCCUGUCUGUCUGGCAGGGGUCUUUGGGCUCUGUCACACCGGUGCGUUCUCAGACCAGAAGCCACCCGCCUUAAAUGGCCUGAAAACUGCCAUCCUUUCCUCUGCACACCGACCACCCGCAGCUCAGGCCUCCAAUAAAGACCGGGAGAUGGA